rnacentral:rRNA from 1 species
CAAUAGCGUAUAUUAAAGUUGUUGCAGUUAGAACGCUCGUAGUCGGAUUUCGGGGCGUUCCGACCGGUCUGCCGAUGGGUAUGCACUGGCCGGAGUGUCCUUUUUGCCGGAGACCGUGCCUACUCUUAACUGAGCGGGGGCGGGAGACGGCACUUUUACUUUGAAAAAAUCAGAGUGUUUCAAGCAGGCAGCUCGCUCUUGCAUGGAUUAGCAUGGGAUAAUGAAAUAGGACUUUGGUGCUAUUUUAUUGGUUUCGAACACCGAAGUAAUGAUGAGAAGGGACAGUCAGGGGCACUCGUAUUCCGCAGAGAGAGGUGAAAUUCUCAGACCCGCGGAAGACGAACCACUGCGAAAGCAUUUGCCAGGGAUGUUUUCACUG